ACAUACGACCAUAUCAUCCAGAGAACUCGGGAUCCCGUCCGCUCUCCCCUAGAUAAGCUGGAUAGAGCCGAAUUAGUAGUUGGGUCGGUGACGACCAGCGAAUCCUUGGUGUUGUAUGUU
rfam:Eutypa lata TCREL1 unplaced genomic scaffold EL1_03_scaffold_219, whole genome shotgun sequence.